rnacentral:rRNA from 1 species
UACGAAGGAUGCAAGCGUUAUCCGGAUUUAUUGGGUUUAAAGGGUGCGUAGGCGGACUUAUAAGUCAGUGGUGAAAUCUCGUUGCUUAACAACGAACGUGCCAUUGAUACUGUAGGUCUUGAGUACAGAUGCCGUUGGCGGAAUGUGUCAUGUAGCGGUGAAAUGCAUAGAUAUGACACAGAACACCGAUUGCGAAGGCAGCUGACGAAACUGUAACUGACGCUGAGGCACGAAAGCGUGGGGAGCGAACAGG